CGCACAUUGCACCCGGUGGUAUUCCGCCGGGUAUGCCUGUCCGAGCGUCAUCAUAACCACUCAAGCCUGUCUUGGUGUUGGGGUUGCGAGUCUCGCAGCCCUCAAGUCCAGUAGCAUCACCUGUGGGUUCUAAGCGUAGUAAUUUAUCCUCGCUACAGAGUCGGCUCGUGGACCGUAUAAUUCCAGUGAAUGCUGGUAUCUUGCUAUUAAACCCCCCAUUUUUAGGUUUGACCUCGGAUCAAGUAGGGAUACCCGCUGAACUUAA
rnacentral:misc_RNA from 1 species